rnacentral:sRNA from 1 species
UCGCCUUCUUUUUGGGGGAUUGUUGUGA